rnacentral:rRNA from 1 species
GACGAACGCUGGCGGCGUGCUUAACACAUGCAAGUCGAACGGAAAGGCCCUGCUUUUGUGGGGUGCUCGAGUGGCGAACGGGUGAGUAACACGUGAGUAACCUGCCCUUGACUUUGGGAUAACUUCAGGAAACUGGGGCUAAUACCGGAUAGGAGCUCCUGCUGCAUGGUGGGGGUUGGAAAGUUUCGGCGGUUGGGGAUGGACUCGCGGCUUAUCAGCUUGUUGGUGGGGUAGUGGCUUACCAAGGCUUUGACGGGUAGCCGGCCUGAGAGGGUGACCGGACACAUUGGGACUGAGAUACGGCACAGACUCCUACGGGAGGCAGCAGUGGGGAAGAUUGCACAAUGGGCGGAAGCCUGAUGCAGCAACGCCGCGUGCGGGAUGACGGCAUUCGGGUUGUAAACCGCUUUCGCCUGAGACGAAGCGUGAGUGACGGUAAUGGGUAAAGAAGCACCGGCUAACUACGUG